rnacentral:rRNA from 1 species
GAAGGCACACCUGUUUGAGUGUCAUGAACCUCUCCUCAUGAAUACUUUUUUCUCCGGAGACUGGUAUUGAUGGAUGUUGAGUGUUGCCGUAAUUGGCUCACUUUAAAUAUAUCAGUUGUUCAGUAGGCCAGUGGAUGAGCUGAUGUGAUAAUUAAUUUUAUGAACCAUUAGCAAGUACUAAGCAUUGCCACUUCUCCCCUACACAUGUUCAGCUUCUAACCCUCUGUGUGCGCUGCAAUGUCAAAGUUGCCAGCUCUCCAGCACAUUGAGCCCCAGACAGCUUCACUUUUGUUGCUGUUUUACUCAAGUUAAGACCUCAAAUCAGGUGGGACUACCCGCUGAACUUAA